CCUACGGGAGGCAGCAGUGAGGAAUAUUGGUCAAUGGGCGGGAGACUGAACCAGCCAAGCCGCGUGAGGGAUGAAUGUACAGCGUAUCGUAAACCUCUUUUGUCAGGGAACAAAGGCGGGGACGUGUCCCCGGUUGAGUGUACUUGAAGAAAAAGCAUCGGCUAACUCCGUGCCAGCAGCCGCGGUAAUACGGAGGAUCCGAGCGUUAUCCGGAUUUAUUGGGUUUAAAGGGAGCGCAGGGGGGUUGUUAAGUCAGUGGUGAAAGUUUGGGGCUCAACCCCAGAAUGGCAUUUGAAACUGGCAGUCUUGAGUACAGGUGAAGUAGGCGGAAUGCGCGGUGUAGCGGUGAAAUGCUUAGAUAUCACGCAGAACUCCGAUUGCGAAGGCAGCAUGCUGGCCUGACACUGACGCUGAGGCUCGAAAGUGUGGGUAUCAAACAGGAUUAGAUACCCCAGUAGUC
rnacentral:rRNA from 1 species